ensembl:lncRNA
CGCUCUUCCCGCGGGGCCAAUCGGCGGCCGCGCCGCCGUCACGCGGCGGGCGGCAGAGAAGCUGCUGACGGCUGGUUUCUGGUGAGGAGGGUGAUCGGAAUGAAGAUGCAACAGGAGUGCUCACACAGAACAGAUUCACGCCAGCUGGUGAUCACACUGUUAAUUUCCCUUUCUUCCCCGUGGUGACGUUAUCCCUUUUUUUACCAACUACAAAAUCGUAAGUGUUUGUCGUCUUCAUGAGAACAGCAACUUUCCAGAUGAGAGCAGGAACCACAUCAGGGCACUCGUGAAGGGACGGAACACUGGACCUGAGCUUGGCUGAGGUCAUUGGCAGCGCUGGAUGCACAGGAGCUAGGCUAGUAGGGAGCCAGGAGGGCACAGGGUAAGAUUUGAUGUACUGCUGGAAGACUGUGUGAUAGAGCUAUGCUGCUUGUUUGUUUGUUUGUUCUUAAGGAAAUCAAAGCAUUUAAGUUUUAAGGUUGUAGUGCUUAUGUUUUGCAGUAGUAGAGCCUAAGUCUUAUGAGGAGUGGCUGAGGGAACUGAGAUUGUUUAGUCUGGAGAAGAAGAGGCUCAGGGAAGACCUUACCACUCUCCAACUACCUGAAAGAGAGUUGUGGUGAGGGGUUGGUCUCUUCCUCCAUGUAACUAAUGAUAGGACUAGAGGGAAUGGCAGGCAAGCACACUGUAAAGGGAGAUCAUAAACCACCAGAUAAAAUGUGCUGGCAGUUCUUUUUCCCUCAUGUUAAACUGUGUAUAGUCUUCAUUUAAGUAUCUUUGCAAUCAGGGAGACAAAAUUUGAACAGGUGCCUGGUGUAUGAUGCAGAUCCAUGGGGUGUACACAGACCCAGCCUACUUGCUUAGUCUCCCCACUCCUCCCAAAUCCACACUGCCUCUCUGCUACACCACUGUUGUAGUCUGCGUGGCCCCGUGCUGAGCCACUGCGGCCCCGUGAAUCUGUAGAAAGCUAACCCAGCCUAGAAAAGCAAAUUGUGAAAUAGUUGCUAGCGGUCAGGGAUUCAGACAGGACAGAGGAACAGAGUUAACUCCAUCCACAGCUCAAAAUGGUUUCAACUCACACCUGUUGCUUCUCACGAGGUGGUUUUAGUUUUGAGAAGUAAAGCAAACUAGAUUACAUUCUGGCAGAACUAGAUUGAAUUAAUGAGUUUUACCGUGCAAGUAGAGGGGACAACAAGCGUGAACGCAAUUAACUGUGGCUCUGCCAGCAGAUACUCAUUAAGUUGCUGUAGCUGUCACUUCCAAUUGUGUGCUCCCGUCCCCAGGGAUUGUACUUUAUUUUUUUAAACAAUUUGAAAGACAUGGAGACAAUAGAAGUAGGAAUACCAAAGUCUCCUCUCGGCCAUAAUUUAAUUUUCUAAUCAGAAAGGAGCAUUCAGGCUUCAGUCCCGUGGGCUUGUUUCAGAGGAUGACCACUUUGGUAGCUCUGCACAUGGGGACAGCUUUCUCUUGUUACCUUCUCAUUAAUGCUCUUUCCUGACACCACAAAUUAACUGUUUGGAGGAAGGGGGAUCACUCACCAAGGGGUGGGGCUGAUGAUUUUUAACUACUUUGUGAAGCCCUGUAUCCAUCCCUGUCACGUAAUAAGGUCGUCGUGUUUAAUUGAAGAUGGUGGUUAAAUGUAAAAAGAAUAAUUGCUCCUGGCCUGUUUUUAUUAGGAGUGAAAAUUUGAUCGACCAUUCCCAGAGCACUGAGAAAUCUAAAUGGAAAUAUUCUGGCUUGGCUUGUGACCUCAUUUUUCUUGUUCUUAGUGGAGUUUCGGUGGACUUCUGCUGAUGCGUUACGCGUCUUACAGCAAAGAGUUCUUUUACUUACCACAAAAGCAAACAGGAAACCUCGGUGAUAUUAUUAAUGUUAAUGAAAAGCUUCCACUAUGUGCCUUAAGUUUUGUAAGAAAUACUCAUCUGCCAAUGAAGUUAAGUUAAAUGGCUGUCAUCCAUACGUAGAUUCAAAACAGGGGAGUCAGCUUCAGGAUAUAAAAAACCCCCUUGAAAUAAAUUAACAACAGCUAAUUUAUUAUUCCAUUUGACUCUCUCUUUCUCCUUAUGAUGUUUAAAAAUAAUUCAAUCACAAGAUUUAAGAGGAAGUGGAAAUAAUGAUGAUCUGUUUUUAUUAAGGUACAAAACUCUUGGAGUAUCUAUGGCAAACAGAGUAGACAUUGCUGUCUGAGUCAGACUUGAAAGGAAAUGUUUAAUCCCCCAUUUUAAUAACCAGCAUAUGAGCAACAGGACCUUGUAUUUCACAAGCAUUAGAUUUUUGUAUGUGUCAAUAAAAAAAUCAGUACUACAGUUACAGUAGUAUUUUAUUUUUAUAUGGUUACUUUGAGCGAAACAUUCAAUCUUUAAGAUGCCUUAAUUGCUGCGAGUUACACUGGAAAUUAAAAUAAGCUUUCCAAUCUACUCUUCCUGUAUUUAUUUCUUAAAUGCGCAUUUUCUUAAAUGGGGCAGUACUUAAUCACCUCAGAUGUGAUCAAAUCGUAGCUGAGAUAAUUUUGUACAUGUGCUGAAACUGGUUUAGUACUAUGGGUGCAUGUCAGAGUAGAGGCGUUUGUUCUGGAUGUUUGGAUCUGUGUUGCCUGUUCUAGGCAGGGAAGAGCAAAUGGCAUGCGACCCCUGCCCCGGGUCCCUGAAUAGGGGCAGUUUUAAGGGCACACCAGGUCCAGCUCCUGGCUCCACACAGGACCACCCAAAAUCAAACCCUAUGUCUGAGAGCAGUGUCCAAACGCUCCGUGAACCCUGACACUCGGGGCCAUGCCCACAGCCCUGGGCAGCCCGUUCCAUGCCCACCACCCUCUGGUGCAGCCCCUUUCCCUAACUCCCAGCUGCCCCUCCCCUGACAACUCCAUGCCGUUCCCUCAG